GUCAUUGGACCCAAACAGACCCUGAAGAGAUACGGCCUUUAUGCGGUGUCUAACCACUACGGCGGUUUGGAUGGCGGCCAUUACACGGCAUACUGUAAGAACGCCCUGAAACAGCGCUGGUACAAGUUUGACGACCACGAGGUGUCGGAAAUCUCCACCUCCUCUGUCAAGUCGUCCGCCGCCUACAUCCUGUUUUACUCUACCCUGUGAUGCAGCUGUCGCACACGAAGAGAAAACACUACGCCCAGAUCGGCGACGCUCAAGCUUCCAGGUUGUUUUCUUUUACUUUUUCUCUUUUAACAAUCACAGCUCUGUCUGAGGACUUGAUGCACGUAGCUGCGGGUUAAUUAGUCAUGCGUGUGCGCUCGAGUAAAGCGGCUGUGAGACCCUGUCUGUCCCCCAGACGGGAGAAUGAUACAGAGACACUGUGCAAUGCUUCAGCGACUCAAGGACUCUAUAGCUGUUAAAUCGUGCCGUCUGUUCAGAUUACUGAUUGUGUAGAGACUAAGCGGAGGCUCCUUUUUGCUCUGACCGUCGUAGCGCUGACAUCCGGUUCCGACGCUCUUCACUCCCAUUUGCGUAGCGCUCAGUGUGAACGGCCGCACCACAGAGCUGAGCUACUGUGGAGUUAGAUGGCAUGUACGUAUACUUAACAAUGCUAAUGUUGCACAUUUAAACAUGUAAAUACUUCAAGGGCCAGGUGAAUAUCUGUUAAGUGACCAAAUUAUUACAGUUAUUUUUUGUUUCUGUGAAAGUAGCAGCCAUUAUAGUAUCCCCAUGUUCAUGAGGACAAACGAUGUAUUUUAGGGGUUUUAACUCUAUAGCCUUCUGAUUUUAACGUGAACUUAAAGGGGAACGGAAGAGACUGUGAGUGUUGAAUUCUUCCCUAAAGACGGGAGGGAUUUAAGAUUGUUGCUUGUUCAUGUUAUCCAUCGUAUUGCACUUACAUAAUAUGCAAUCAGUUUAAGUUGAUUAUGUAGAAUGUGUUCUUUAGGCAGGCAACAUUAAUACCUGACGCAGAAUGCUUUAAAACAAACACGCGCUCAAUACAGCGAGUAACAGGGGAUGAAGCCUCCUGCUCAUAAAGUUUGUUAUAGAAUUUAUUCUCUGUAACUCUUUGCAUAACUAUAUUAUCAAACACAACAAUUAUAUACAGGAAAUAUUACUGGGGGUAAUUUGGCACCUUCCUUGGAUUGUACCGCCGACGUUGGUUUUGAAAAAAACCCUUUUGUAGAAGGAUGGUUGUUUGUUAAUCUCAUUAUUGUGUCUGUGUUUAGUACAGACUCGGGGAGAAUAUGAAGACGUGAGAAAUUGACCUAAUUCACUUAUUGGCGUCGAUGUUUGCUGUUUGAUUCGCUGACUGACGGAAGCAAGCACAGAGUAUUGUUUCUUUUUCUUUCUUUCUUCCUCAUUGGACCGAAAAAAGUCAGGAUUCUGGACUCUCUACAUUGAGAUGACUGUUUUCUUAGCAUGAUGAGAUCAUAAUCUGGUUUUUAUUUUCACAUGUACAUGUUUGUUUGUUUUCAAAUUGCUCGAAAGAAGAUUUCUUUCCGAUAUAACGAUUAUAUUAAUCCCAACUACUCGUAUGACUAUUUAUUAAAGUGAUUCAAAUCAG